CCCUUAGAUGUUCUGGGUCGCACGCGCGCUACACUGACGGAGGCAGCGAGCAUGUCCUGCGCCGAGAGGUGUGGGGAAUCUUGUGAGUCUCCGUCGUGCUGGGGAUAGAUGGUUGCAAUUGUCGAUCUUGAACGAGGAAUUCCUAGUAAGCGCGAGUCAUCAGCUCGCGCUGAUUACGUCCCUGCCCUUUGUACACACCGCCCGUCGCUACUACCGAUUGGAUGGUUUAGCGAGAACUUUGGACCGGAGCUCGGGUGGUCAGCAAUGGUCGCCCGAGAUGUCUGGGAAAUCGUUCCAGCUUGAUCAUCUAGAGGAAGUAAAAGUCGUAACA
rnacentral:rRNA from 1 species